CAAAAUCGACCCCGAAACGGCCCCAAAUGGACCCAAAAUACCCCGAAAUUAUCCCCAAAUUAUCCCCGAAAUGGACCCGAAAUACCCUCAAAUUAUCCCCAAAAUCAACCCUGAAAUUGCUCGAAAUGGACCCAAAAUACCCCAAAAUUAUCCCAAAAUUAUCCCCGAAAUGGACCCAAAAUCGACCCCGAAACGGCCCCAAAGGGACCCAAAAUAUCCCGAAAUUAUCCCCAAAAUGUCCCAAAAUUAUCCCCCAGAAUGGACCCUGAAAUGGCCCCAAAUGGACCCAAAAUACCCCGAAAUUAUCCCCGAAUUAUCCCCGAAAUGGACCCAAAAUAUCCCGAAAUUAUCCCAAAAUUAUCCCCAAAUUAUCCCAAAAUAUCCCCAAAAUAUCCCAAAAUGGACCCAAAAUCUCCUGAAAUUAUCCCAAAUUAUCCCAAAAUAUCCCAAAUUAUCCCAAAAUAUCCCCAAAUUUUCCCAAAUUAUCCCAAAUUAUCCCAAAAUUUUCCCAAAUUUAUCCCAAAUUUUCCCCAAAUUUCCCCAAUUUAUCCCAAAUUUCGCCAAAAUUUAUCCCAAACUUUCCUAAAUUUAUCCCAAAAUUAUCCCCAAGUUUUCCCAAAUUUCCCCAAAUUUUCCCAAAUUAUCCCAAAAUCUUCCCAAAUUUAUCCCAAAAUUUCCCAAA